rnacentral:rRNA from 1 species
CCUACGGGUGGCAGCAGUGAGGAAUAUUGGUCAAUGGACGAGAGUCUGAACCAGCCAAGUAGCGUGAAGGAUGACUGCCCUAUGGGUUGUAAACUUCUUUUAUAAAGGAAUAAAACGAGGCACGUGUGCCUUUUUGCAUGUACUUUAUGAAUAAGGAUCGGCUAACUCCGUGCCAGCAGCCGGGGUAAUACGGAGGAUCCGAGCGUUAUCCGGCUUUCGUGGGUUUAAAGGGAGCGUAGAUGGGUUGUUAAGUCAGUUGUGAAAGUUUGGGGCUCAACCGUAAAAUUGCAAUUGAUACUGGCAGUCUAGAGUACAGUUGAGGUAGGCGGAAUUCGUGGUGUAGCGGUGAAAUGCUUAGAUAUCACGAAGAACCCCGAUUGCGAAGGCAGCUUACUAAACUGUGACUGACAUUGAUGCUCGAAAGUGUGGGUAUCAAACAGGAUUAGAUACCCGAGUAGUC